rnacentral:rRNA from 1 species
AUACGUAGGGUGCGAGCGUUGUCCGGAAUUACUGGGCGUAAAGAGCUCGUAGGUGGUUUGUCGCGUCGUCUGUGAAAUUCCGGGGCUUAACUCCGGGCGUGCAGGCGAUACGGGCAUAACUUGAGUACUGUAGGGGAGACUGGAAUUCCUGGUGUAGCGGUGAAAUGCGCAGAUAUCAGGAGGAACACCGGUGGCGAAGGCGGGUCUCUGGGCAGUAACUGACGCUGAGGAGCGAAAGCAUGGGUAGCGAACAGGAUUAGAUACCCUGGUAGUCCAUGCCGUAAACGGUGGGCGCUAGGUGUAGGGGUCUUCCACGACUUCUGUGCCGUAGCUAACGCAUUAAGCGCCCCGCCCGGGGAGUACGGCCGCAAGGCUAAAACUUAAAGGAAUUGACGGGG